rnacentral:rRNA from 1 species
ACUGGAGAUGAUGGGACGGAGAUAGCAAGGUUAAAGGAGUGUCUUGGAAAGGCAUUUGAAGUGAAGGAUCUUGGUCAGAUGAUGUAUUUUCUGGGUAUUGAGAUUGCAAGAUCUGCCAAAGGGAUAGCCUUGUCCCAGCGCAAGUACACCUUGGAUCUCCUCAGUGAUAUGGGAAUGUUAGAGUGUCGAGCUGCUACUACCCCAAUUGACCAAAACCAUAAGGUAACAACACAAUCUGGAGAUCUAGUGGAUAAGGAGAAAUACCAAAGACUGGUAGGGCGUUUACUAUACUUGUGUCACACAAGGCCAGACAUUGCCUAUGUUGUGAGCAUAGUGAGUAGGUAUAUGCAUGAGCCCAGAAGUGGACAUGUGGAGGCAGCACACAGAAUUCUGAAGUAUUUGAAGGGAACACCAGGAAGAGGACUGUGGUUCGAAGGGAAUGGCCACUUGGUAGUUGAUGGGUAUAGUGAUGCAGACUGGGCAAGUUGCCUGGAUGAUCGUCGAUCAAUAUCUGGGUAUUGUGUGUUUGUGGGAGGUAACUUAGUUUCAUGGAGAAGCAAGAAGCAGCCAGUUGUAUCAAAAUCAACAGCAGAAGCAGAAUAUAGAGCCAUGUCUCAGGGGUUAAGUGAGAUGUUGUGGGUGAGAAACCUUCUAAGUGAAUUGAAAUUGCUAAGAGAAGGACCUCUGAAUGUCUGGUGUGACAACAGGUCUGCUAUAUGCAUAGCUAACAACCCAGUGCAACAUGACAGAACUAAGCAUGUAGAGAUUGAUCGAUUCUUCAUCAAAGAGAAG